rnacentral:rRNA from 1 species
CUACGGGGUGCUGCAGUGAGGAAUAUUGCACAAUGGGGGGAACCCUGAUGCAGCAACGCCGCGUGGAGGAUGACGCAUUUCGGUGUGUAAACUCCUUUUAUAUGUCAAGAAAAUGACGGUAGCAUAUGAAUAAGCACCGGCUAACUCCGUGCCAGCAGCCGCGGUAAUACGGAGGGUGCAAGCGUUACUCGGAAUCACUGGACGUAAAGGACGCGUAGGCGGGAUAUCAAGUCAGGUGUGAAAUCCUACAGCUUAAAUGUAGAACUGCACUUGAAACUGGUAACCUAGAGUAUGGGAGGGGGAGAUGGAAUUAGUGGUGUAGGGGUAAAAUCCGUAGAUAUCACUAGGAAUACCUAAAGCGAAGGCGAUCUCCUGGAACAUAACUGACGCUAAGGCGUGAAAGCGUGGGGAGCAAACAGGAUUAGAUACCCGAGUAGUC